GACGAACCGAGCGAACGUUAUUCGGAAUCACUGGGCUUAAAGGGCGCGUAGGCGGGCGGCCAAGUCAAGGGUGAAAGCCUCCAGCUCAACUGGAGAAGUGCCUUUGAUACUGGUCAUCUUGAGGGAGGUAGGGGCGUGCGGAACUUCCGGUGGAGCGGUGAAAUGCGUAGAUAUCGGAAGGAACACCGGUGGCGAAAGCGGCGCGCUGGACCUCUUCUGACGCUGAGGCACGAAGGUCAGGGGAGCAAACGGG
rnacentral:rRNA from 1 species